GUGGAACAAGAAGCAGAUAAUAUUUUAAAGGAUGCUGAUAUCAGUGAUGUUGCAUUCCUUGUGGUUGGUGAUCCAUUUGGACACUUGGAGACCAGAAAGCUUCUUUGACAAAGUGAAGAAGAACAGACAAAAUGGCAUGCACACAUUAUGUUUACUAGACAUCAAAGUAAAGGAGCAGUCUUUGGAAAAUCUAAUCAACAAUUACCGAGGAGACACUUUGCGUUGGCUUAGCCAGGGUUGGAGCCGACGACCAGAAAAUUGCAGCAGGCACUUUACAGCAAAUGUGUACUGUGGACUUGGGAGAACCAUUGCAUUCCUUGAUCAUCACAGGAGGCAGCAUACAUCCAAUGGAGAUGGAGAUGCUAAGUCUGUUUUCCAUACCAGAAAAUAGCUCAGAAUCUCAAAGCAUCAAUGGACUUUGAACAUAGAUAUUUACUAUUGUCUGAUGUAAAUUUCAGCCAUAUAUAGAUUGAUAUGGUUUGGCUGUAUCCCCACCCAAGUCUCAUCUUGAAUUUUAAUCCUCAUAAUUCCCAGGUGUUGUGGUAGGUAAUUGAAUCAUGGGGGCAGUUUUCCUCAUGCUAUUCUCAUGAUAGUGAGCUUUCAUGAGAUCUGAUGGUUUUAUAAGCGCCUGGCAUUUCCCCUACUGGCUCUCAUUCUCACUCUUGCCGCGCUGUAAAGAAGUGCCUUCCACCAUGAUUGUUAAGUUUCCUGAGGCCUUCCCAGCCGUGUGGAACUGUGAGUCGAAAAUUAAACCUCUUUUAUAAUUA
rnacentral:sRNA from 1 species